CAGUAGCCGCGGUAAUACGUAGGGUGCGAGCGUUAAUCGGAAUUACUGGGCGUAAAGCGGGCGCAGACGGUUACUUAAGCAGGAUGUGAAAUCCCCGGGCUCAACCUGGGAACUGCGUUCUGAACUGGGUGACUAGAGUGUGUCAGAGGGAGGUAGAAUUCCACGUGUAGCAGUGAAAUGCGUAGAGAUGUGGAGGAAUACCGAUGGCGAAGGCAGCCUCCUGGGAUAACACUGACGUUCAUGCCCGAAAGCGUGGGUAGCAAACAGGAUUAGAUACCCGAGUAGUCCCUGUCUCUUAUAC
rnacentral:rRNA from 1 species